rnacentral:rRNA from 1 species
GUGGGGAAUAUUGGACAAUGGGCGAAAGCCUGAUCCAGCCAUGCCGCGUGAGUGAUGAAGGCCUUAGGGUUGUAAAGCUCUUUCAGUAGGGAAGAUAAUGACGGUACCUACAGAAGAAGCCCCGGCUAACUUCGUGCCAGCAGCCGCGGUAAUACGAAGGGGGCUAGCGUUGUUCGGAUUUACUGGGCGGAAAGCGCACGUAGGCGGAUUGGUCAGUUAGAGGUGAAAUCCUGGAGCUCAACUCCAGAACUGCCUUUAAUACUGCCAGUCUAGAGUCCAGAAGAGGUGAGUGGAACUCCUAGUGUAGAGGUGGAAUUCGUAGAUAUUAGGAAGAACACCAGUGGCGAAGGCGGCUCACUGGUCUGGUACUGACGCUGAGGUGCGAAAGCGUGGGGAGCAAACAGGAUUAGAUACCCCAGUAGUCC